CUGUAUUUUGCAUUGUAAAAUGUGUUUCUUUUUCAUUUCAGUAUGGCUGUGGUAAGUACACAAACUUUCUUUAAUUUUCAUAUUGAACUGUUUUGAUGACUUGUAUUCUACUAUGCAAUGCUUAAUGUAUUUUUUUCAGUAGCCUGUUGGUAAGUACAAUUGCCUUCUUUAAUUUUCAUAUUGAACUGUUUUGAUGAUGUGUAUACUGCUAUGCAAUGCUUAAUGUUUUUUUCAUUUCAGUAUGGCUGUGGUAAGUACACAAACUUUCUUUAAUUUUCAUAUUGAACUGUUUUGAUGACCUGUAUUUUGCAUUGUAAAAUGUGUUUCUUUUUCAUUUCAGUAUGGCUGUGGUAAGUACACUAACUUUCUUUAAUUUUCAUAUUGAACUGUUUUGAUGACUUGUAUUCUGCUAAACAAAAUGUGCUUUUUUCAAUUUCAGGUCAGCAAUGGUAAGUAGAUUGUGUUUCUUUAUGUAUAAUUGUGUAUACAAAGUUUUUUUUUCAUCAUAGCAUGUCUUUUAUAUUUAUGCUUCGUGUAAGUAAAAUGUUCAUAAAUCAUUCUUAUCUUCAAACUAAAAAUGUAUUGUGCUAUGCAAAAUAUCUGUAUGUUUUCAGUUGCCAGAGGUGAGUACCAUUACAGUUGAAAAGUUAGUUUUGUUUAGUUAAAGUUUUGGUUCACAGUUCUGUUUGUUAUUUGGCAAAAUUUACAUGUAUGCAUUGAGUCUUGAUUUCAGCUCGAUUGUGGACUGAAGAAGAUUGCCAGCAGAGGGAUUGGAUACAAAAUACAAAGUAAGUACUGAGUUUCUUACUAAAAGUUUUGAGUUGUAUUCAUUGUGUGUUAAUAUGCUAUGAUUGCUAUGAACAUGACUUUUGUAUUUCAGCGAAGACAACAUAGGUAAGUAAAAUUGUUAUCUGUUUCAUGUUUACUGUUACAGUUCAAUAUUGUGUUUAUAAAUUGUAAGUUGUACAAACACAUUCAAAAGUUUCUAAUCAUGCUUUCGAUUUCAUUUCAGCUUUACUGCUAGACGAGUGUUCUCUACUACUUGACGAGUCAGCUUUACUACCAGGCGAGCAGUGACAACAAGGCGCCUUUGUGGAAACAACACAACAAAAAACUGUACUGCUAGACGAGCAGUGACAGAAAGGCGCCUGAACAUGCAACACAAAACAAAAAAUGCCAAUUUGCAAACCUUGAUGUGGACACCGAGUAGUCAAUACAUACGUGUGGCGUAUAGCUGCGACAAAACCGUGGGUCCAUCGCACCGAUAACUUGAACAUUGGCCCGUGUAUGGACAUCAGUGCAACUUUGUGAAUCCAUGUAACUUUGUGAAUCCAUGUAACAUUGCGAAUGUGUGUCGAUCGAAAAAUGUGUACAUUCUGCACUGAAACGAACUCGGUGUUGCAAGUGGCAAGUGUUGACAGUGUGUAUGUUUAUGUUUAUGUUUUUACAUGAAAAAUAAAGGAGAUUGUUCUCCUACCUUUUUUUUCCUUGUUUUAUUGUGCUGGCCAGCAAUAUUGAUGUAUUGAUGUAUGUGUUUGUGUUUAAACUAUGCAAUACCAAAAUCAAACAAAAAAUAAACAUUAACAGUCAUUAACUGUGUUUGGGCGGCCGAGGGGUUUAAGACUCCACAAGUGUGAAGCGCACUGAUAGCACUUGGGGGUAAACACCUCGGUAUUUCGGUGCUAAAAUGUUUUCACGGUGCUUAUUUUGACGCACUGUUAGAACUACCAACCAGUAAAUGAUUGCUUGAUUUAUAAAACAAAUAUUCAGUCUCUACUUUGGCACAAGAGACUCUAAGUAUCAAAUACCAACAAUUUAGACGCAGACAAUCACAUGGUGGUACACCAGUCCGAAUAUACUCAUUGCUCUAGCCAGGAUUGCAAAUUACUUGUGUUGACUAGCAAGGCUCCCUAGUAACGGAGCAGUGUUACUGGCGUUUUUUGGGUCGAUAGUGCUUAGGUGAGGUUUUGCUCGAAUCGGGAGCGGGUCACUCGCUUGGGCGAGUUAGUUUUCGCUCGUAGUUUCCAAUCUGGCUAGAUCAAUGUAAGGUUGUUUUGACUGCUAUUUGGCAAGCAGAAAGACAACAGCGGUUAAUUGACUGAGUAUGGGCGACCGAGGUAUGUAGGUGUCAAUAGACCGACUCCACAAGUUGCGAAGCGAACCGAUAGCACUUGAGGGGAAACGCCUCGGUUUUCGGUUCUAACAUGUGUUAUCCAUGCUGUCGUUAUACUCUGGCAAGGCUCCUCAAUCUAUCGCGAGGGACACUCAUUAUUGCCCGCAAGCUUUAGAACCUGACGUGGGUCGAUGCGUAUGCGAGUCCGAGGACGCGAUGGCAUUUGAUAAGGCUACCAACCGGUUGAUAACACGCAUUGUUCAAAUUGUUAGGUUUAAGUCUGCUAGGGCUGGGGUGGGAA